rnacentral:rRNA from 1 species
UACGAAGGGGGCAAGCGUUGUUCGGAAUUACUGGGCGUAAAGGGCGCGCAGGCGGCCGUGGAAGUCAGAUGUGAAAGCCCCGGGCUCAACCUGGGAACAGCAUUUGGGACUCCAUGGCUAGAGUUCGGGAGAGGUGGGUGGAAUUCCCAGUGUAGAGGUGAAAUUCGUAGAUAUUGGGAAGAACACCGGUGGCGAAGGCGGCUCACUGGACCGAUACUGACGCUGAGGCGCGAAAGCGUGGGGAGCAAACAGG